AAUCCUGUGAUGAGGGCAUCUACGUAGUAACUCAUUGAAUCUUUCCCACGCCUCAUAUAAGGACUUGUCAUCCAGUUGUUGAAAAGUGGUGAUCUCAUUCCGCAACU
rfam:Gossypium raimondii Chr02_contig_1116, whole genome shotgun sequence.